rnacentral:piRNA from 1 species
UCCCGUUGUGCACUUUGCUCUGGCCUCA